AGUGAACGCUGGCGGUAGGCCUAACACAUGCAAGUCGAACGGCAGCACAGUAAGAGCUUGCUCUUACGGGUGGCGAGUGGCGGACGGGUGAGGAAUACAUCGGAAUCUACUUUUUCGUGGGGGAUAACGUAGGGAAACUUACGCUAAUACCGCAUACGACCUACGGGUGAAAGCAGGGGAUCUUCGGACCUUGCGCGAUUGAAUGAGCCGAUGUCGGAUUAGCUAGUUGGCGGGGUAAAGGCCCACCAAGGCGACGAUCCGUAGCUGGUCUGAGAGGAUGAUCAGCCACACUGGAACUGAGACACGGUCCAGACUCCUACGGGAGGCCGCAGUGGGGAAUAUUGGACAAUGGGCGCAAGCCUGAUCCAGCCAUACCGCGUGGGUGAAGAAGGCCUUCGGGUUGUAAAGCCCUUUUGUUGGGAAAGAAAAGCAGCAGGUUAAUACCCCGCUGUUCUGACGGUACCCAAAGAAUAAGCACCGGCUAACUUCGUG
rnacentral:rRNA from 1 species